UACGUAGGGGGCAAGCGUUGUCCGGAUUUAUUGGGCGUAAAGAGCGUGUAGGCGGCCAGAUAGGUCGGUUGUGAAAACUGGAGGCUCAACCUCCAGACGUCGACCGAAACCAUCUGGCUAGAGUCCGGAAGAGGAGAGUGGAAUUCCUGGUGUAGCGGUGAAAUGCGCAGAUAUCAGGAAGAACACCCGUGGCGAAGGCGGCUCUCUGGGACGGUACUGACGCUGAGGAGCGAAAGCCAGGGGAGCGAACGGG
rnacentral:rRNA from 1 species